UACGAAGGGGGCUAGCGUUGCUCGGAAUCACUGGGCGUAAAGGGUGCGUAGGCGGGUCUUUAAGUCAGGGGUGAAAUCCUGGAGCUCAACUCCAGAACUGCCUUUGAUACUGGCGACCUUGAGUCCGGGAGAGGUGAGUGGAACUGCGAGUGUAGAGGUGAAAUUCGUAGAUAUUCGCAAGAACACCAGUGGCGAAGGCGGCUCACUGGCCCGGUACUGACGCUGAGGUGCGAAAGCGUGGGGAGCGAACAGG
rnacentral:rRNA from 1 species